GACGAACGCUGGCGGCGUGCUUAACACAUGCAAGUCGAACGGAAAGGCCCUGCUUUUGUGGGGUGCUCGAGUGGCGAACGGGUGAGUAACACGUGAGUAACCUGCCCUUGACUUUGGGAUAACUUCAGGAAACUGGGGCUAAUACCGGAUAGGAGCUCCUGCUGCAUGGUGGGGGUUGGAAAGUUUCGGCGGUUGGGGAUGGACUCGCGGCUUAUCAGCUUGUUGGUGGGGUAGUGGCUUACCAAGGCAUUGACGGGUAGCCGGCCUGAGAGGGUGACCGGCCACAUUGGGACUGAGAUAGGGCCCAGACUCCUACGGGAGGCAGCAGUGGGGAAUAUUGCACAAUGGGCGGAAGCCUGAUGCAGCAACGCAGCGUGCGGGAUGACGGCCUUCGGGUUGUGAACCGCUUUCGCCUGUGACGAAGCGUGAGUGACGGUAAUGGGUAAAGAAGCACCGGCUAACUACGUG
rnacentral:rRNA from 1 species